UCCGUCGGAUAGGGUCUCAAGGCUGAGCAGGACGUAAGAAUAAAAGCAGAACUAUCCCACCAAAAUCAGAGAGUCAAGACUCUUCCUUUACCUUCAGCAGCGUCUAGUCUCGUGGGGAAGGCUACAACUGGCACCCGAACUGGGGCUUGAAGCCACGAAAAGGUCCCCAAAAAGCUGGAAGAACCACUCAGAGAGCACGUGGCCGAAGAAACCCACACAGAGACAGACCCAUCAGGCUUGGCGUUCACUGUGGAGUCUCCAGACACAGGACUCUACAGGCCACAGCUGCAGUUUUCUUCCCUGGACUCAAAAAUCCCAUCGGAGUGCUGCAAAAAAAAGCCUACGACCGGCAAGCUGCCUAGGAACAGCCACAUGCUCGUGGAAAAAUGACCCUAGGAUCAGAGACUGAAAGCUCUUCAUGCACCAAAGAGGGGUCUCUAGCUAAAAGGAGUGGUUGGGAAAGAAAGGAAAGAAAUGCUGGAAUUUUGGUUAUUUUGCAACAGAGGAACCUUGGAUCUGCUGAGAAAGGAAAGACUGCUCAAACAUGCACGUUUUCUGAGUAUUAACAGACUCUGAACAUGAGCGAAUGACAUUGCACAGGCGAAAACAAAUUAUUAUAGCACACUUAUCUCUGCUGUCUUUUUGUCUCAAAAGAUACAACACUACCUCUCUGGUAGCAUCUUGUCGCAGUUGGCCAACAAGAAAGCUGUUGAUGGUGGGGUGACCUGCAACUUUGCACCCAGGCAGAUAGGACCCAAGCCAUGUUGCAGUGUCCCCUUCAAUGGGACUGCCCAGCUGACCCUCAUGAGUAUUUCAGUCAUUAGGCAGCUAUGAUUAGACUCCUGAUUGUGGCGGUGCAUGUUUUAUUUUAUUUGUUCUAGGUUUUUUAUACUGAGUUUUGUAUUGGCUUGUUCCAAUGUAUCCCCCAGUUUCUAUAAUGGUUCCAUCCCCACAUGUUUGUUAUAUAAUCCCCGGUUAUCUGUCAAUCUUUCCACUCCCCAACCUGUCCCUGUCAAUCCCCUCUCUCUCCUCUUGGGUGCCCUGUCUGUCACUUCAGGGCCCUUCCCUGGCUUCUGGAAAGAUCCAGGGAGGGCGUUGAGUGAUAGGCUGGUGCCCAGGAAAUCCCCUCCCCCCUCUUGUUAUUGGUUCGAUGUUCAGGAGCUAACACCCGUUGUUACACCCCCAUAUCCCCUGAUUGGCUGACGCGUUGUCACCACCCCUGGAUCCUCCCCCGGUUAAAAGCUCGUGCACAGCCCUGUUUGGGGCUCUCUCUGGGCAGCAGUUGUCAGAGGCGGAGCUGCCUGCUGGUCUCCCCUCCGAUAAACCAUCUUUAACCCUGCACAAGAGAGUCAAUCCUUUAUCCAUCGCCACAGUCAUGCCUCCAUCGGGGCCUGUCGUCGGCGUGGGGAACCAAGGCCCCACGGGGAGGAGGUUGCUUGCCCAGCCUGCAACCCCAACCUUACUCGCGUAAACCACAAUGAGAGGCUGAGCUAGCCUGUGGCCAGCGCCUGCCGAGCGCGAGGGACACUGCGACACCUGAUCUCAUGAGAUGUUGUGGAGAUUAGUGUGGGGUGACAAUGGCUUCUCUGUUUUGAAGUGAUGGUGCAGGUGUCCAAGUGCCAACUAACCUCACACAAUGUUGCAGACCCUCAUUCCAUUCUGUGACUUAAUUCUUUCUUCCCAAUCCCCUGGUGGGCUCUGGAGAUCCAGAAUAAUGCUGUUCCUUGCCAUCAGCACAGGUUAAAAUAAUAUGGAUCGAAAUGGUCCAUAUUCAAAACUACAAUUCUUUUCUGCAUUCCUAAAUCACUUAGAAGUCUACACCAGGGUCUUUUUUUACCCAUAAGUAAUUUUUUUUUUCAUGCAGUUACCUGCUAAAUUACAUGGUGGCCUUGGAGGUAGGCUCAUAAUCAGGACUGAUGAUCCUCUGACCUGGCACUGGCACUGUGUCAGGUCACAGUACACCCACCAGUGCUAGUCAACAGUCUGAGCCUGAGUCAUGCCCCACAUUUUGUUAUUACUGAAUUGUCCUAGGUUACAAUGUAAGAUGUGCCCAAAGUAUGUAUUCUAUCACCAUCUACAUGAGCUGUUGAAGCUAGGUUGGGCAGUGUUUCCCUUGCCCCCUCCCUCCAGACUAUCUUCGGUUAAUGGCCCAUCAAUGCCCUGCUGCAUGACUCAUAGAUAACUCCCUCCAGGAUCUAUCUCUGUUUAAUGGGCAAUCAAGGACCCACUGCAAGACUGAUAAAAUGAUAUCAGCCCAUUGUGAGAUGCUCCACCCAAGGGAAGGAGCCAAGCAUUCCCACCUGGAUAUAAUCUGGGAUUUGGGACAGCACAGGCAGCCUUACCCACUGGAUUCCCAGAGGACAAGAGCUACCAGACCUUUCUGCGGGAACACUGCUUCAACAAGACCACUUCAUCUGGACUGCUACCACCAUGGUGUCAGGUUGUAUUCUGACUCUGUCAGUGAUCUUUUGUACUAUUGCAUGUGUUUUGUUUUGUUUUAUUUUAUUUUAUUUUAUUUUAUUUUAUUUUAUUUUAUUUUAUUUUACCUUUUUUUUCCUCUCCUAUUGUUUUUUUCUGACUUGGAGUUUCUCGCUGGUUUUGCCUUCAAGCCAGCACAUGAAUGUAGAGCUGGCGAUUGAAGGUGAUCACUCAAACCUUAUUUCAAUAGCUUAACUGCACAUACUAUGGUUUCACAGAAUCAGGAAAAUAGAAGAAUAGGAAAGCCAGUUUUGUUUUUUCAGUCUUAAGCUAUCCUCUUGAAACAUGACUUUAAAGAGUUAAGAUUUUAGCUAAGGGUUAGAAGCAAUUUAUAUUGAUCAAGAUGUAAGUUUGAUUAGUAAAUGGUAGGUUAAUGAUUAUUAGAUGCCUAAGCUAGAGCUAACUGUUAUAUUAUGAGCUUGUUUAUGGAAAAAGUGGAGUAAGUGAACCAUCAUAAGAACAGAUUGAAACCACUAAGAACAAUGGCCAGCACCUGGACUUGGUAUCAAUCAAUCACAAAGCAGGGGACCUUGGACAGUGCCAGAGGGUCACUGAGACCUGAUGAAGACUCUCCUGACUUCAUCCUUUGAGACCACUGACCCAAUUCAAGACCACCGACCCAAUUCAAGAGAAGAACUGCACAUGCGUGAAGGACUGAUAGCUUCAUUUUAAUACAGAGCGGGGAUGGGAGGUGCUGGGGUUAUGCAUAUGUACUGUAUGUAAGAUCUUGGAAAAUAAAUAGAGGGCAAAGAGCCUUGUUCGGAGCGGCCACGCCUUUCGGAGAUGACUCCCGUGCCACCCACUGGUGGAUAAACAUACCACUUUCUAACUUUAAUUAGUUAGAGGGUCUUUGUCCGUGCUUAUAUCGGUUUUCAAUGACUCACUCUAACAACAAAUUCACUGUACGUAUGAAAGUAAGACAGUUUUUUUAUUGAGUCUCAACAAUACUAUAUUACAGAAUCACAGAAUAUUCUGAGUUGGAAGGGACCCACAAGGAUCAUCAUGACUAACUCUUCAGUGAAUGGUCUGUACGGGGAUCAAACCCACAACCCUGGCAUUAUUAACACCAUGCUCAAACUGAGCUUUAUUUUCUAGUUUGUAGUUGUCUCAAAUCAGUUUCUUCCACUUCCUCUGAAGUGUCUUAUCUGAGGGGUUUUUUUUUUUUGCCACCAGAACUCUGUAAAUAAA